AUCUCCACCAACGUGUCCACUUCUCUUAUUAGCGAGAGCCCUAAAAAGCAGCAUGGAGCUAUAGCUACCACCGUGGAGAGGAAAAGCCCACGCAGCCCCAUAGCCAGCUGCCAACAAGCUGCGGAGCUAGAUGAAGCUGAGUAUUCACAGGCCCCAGGCAGACCUAGUGCCUCCCCAGUCCCACUACCAGCACUGGCCGGUCCGCCGCAGGAACCCACGCACCGCUAAAAACAUGCGCUGCCAGAAGUGCUCCGAGCCCAGGCGACCCCGAUCCAUGAGCGCGUCUGCCAGUCCAACUCUUCCAGACUCUUCUCUGCGCUCCACAGAGGUCCGCGUGCCCCAAGCCUCGACCCCCAUAGUCUUCACAGGGAUACCUGGAUGUCCCGCACAGGACCCGGGCACUGGGCAUCGCAUCCUCCCUCCUGAGCUUCCCAGGACCGACCCCCGCCGCCUACACGCGGC
rnacentral:lncRNA from 1 species